CAGCCUUGGAGGGAAGCUCCAAGGAGAGUCUUUCCAGUUUCCUGGCCCCUGCCACCAGGCAGCCCCAGCCCCCUCCCCGCAGGUCCCUUCUUCCCAUCUGCGUAGUCUCAGGGACCAAGGCAGAUCAGGCGGCCUGGGAGCCUCUCUCCCCAGGGGACGUGCUAGGGGAGACACAGGCAGGUCCUACAGGAAGCGUGACGUCAUCGUUCCUCCAUAUGGGCCUGAGAGCGCCUCCAAGAGCCCCACACCCCAGGCCUUGCCAGGCACCCAGCUACACAGAGCAGGCCACUGGGGGCUGCCUGCUGGUGGCAAAUGCCUGACAUCCUGGACAGACUUCCAAGAAGGGAUGGCACUGGGAUCAUUCUGCAAACGCAGGUCUGUGUAAGUGGCCUCACCCGAUGUCCCAGCACCCCUGUGCAGCUGCCCUGGGCCCCAGGGUGAGGCUGGAGGCGGAGCAGUGCUGAGACAGGAACUUGGUUGGGAACCUGGAAGGAGCCCACGCUGCCAGGGGCAUCAAAACCAAAGCCGCUGUCCCUGGGGACUCCUCAGAACAUUCCCGCCCCACCCCCGACCCGAGCUCCCCAAAGAGAGCGCUUCGCCAUUGGAGGCACAGCCCCUUCAGGGGGUAGAGAGAAGCCUUUGCCAGCUGCAAGUCCCCCAGAUCAGCUCACACCUCAGAACAUCUUGUCCCCAAUGAGCUGGCAGGGGUGCCGGCCGCGGGAGGGGGCGCUGCCGUAUCUAACCCAGUCGA
rnacentral:lncRNA from 1 species